GGCCCGUGUUGAGCAGACGUUCCAGAGCUCGGAGCCUGCUUCCCGGGCCAGCCUGGCGUGGUCCCCGCCGGGGCGGUGAGCGCCGGCGGAGGUGCCCGGGGCCCGGCCGUUCCCGAUGGGGCGGAGACCGCACAGUGCGGGCUGGGGCCGAGGCUGCGCAGCCUCCUGUGCACUCCACGGCCGUCCGCUUGGGGCCCCCCAGGGCUCCCGCCCGGCUUUGCAGGCAGGGACUCCGUAAUCGGGGGCAGCCUCACAACCCACCGCUCCCCCAGCUGUCCAGGCACCACUUCUGCUCAGCUAUCCUUCGUACAGGGCUUACAGCGCCCAGCCCUGGUCUCAACGGGAAGCCUCACCACCACGGGCAUGAGGUGGGUACUGUCCUUAACGCACCUGCAGGAGAGGUGACUGACACAGGGGCUAAUGAACUUGCCUGGAGUCACACAGCUGAUGAGAGUGAGGCUGGACCCUGAUCCUGGCUGCCUGUUGACUGGACUCAUCCACUGAGCCCCUGCAGGGCUGCUGUUUCCUCAGAAGCUGUGUGGGGCCCACAGAGGAGUGAAGCCCUCGACUUGCAUGUUAACAAGCUCACAGGAUACAUUUGAAAUGUGAUCCAGGCGGACACUUGCAAACCAGAGGUGUCCCGGGGAGCAGGGUGGCGCACACGGAGAUGUUGGUAGGUAUCUCAAAAGACAGGGCAUCAGAGUGUGCUGGUAAAGAGCGCAGACUCAAGAUGGAGUCACUUGUGCUAAGUCCACCUCACCAGACAGGACUUAAUACCUAACCUAAUUGCACUCCCGCACUCCCCCAGGCAUGGGACCUUUAACCCCACCCAGCCUGGAAUUUCCUGGUCGCACCAGUGAGGUUAACCCCAAAGACCCCAUUCAUCCCCCAAAGGAGGGUGACUGAAGUCCGACACUAUCCGCUCUUUGCUGGAUAUGUCCUUCCCCUGCCCCCUUUCUGUCUAUAAAAGCCUUCCCCUUUCUGCAGCUCGCAGGAGCUCCUUUCUACUCGCUAGAUGGGACGCUGCCCAAUUCAUAAAUCAUUGAAUAAAGCCAGUUUGAUCUUUAAA